AUUGAACGCUGGCGGCAGGCCUAACACGUGCAAGUCGAACGGUAACAGGAAACAGCUUGCUGUUUCGCUGACGAGUGGCGGACGGGUGAGUAAUGUCUGGGAAACUGCCUGAUGGAGGGGGAUAACUACUGGAAACGGUAGCUAAUACCGCAUAACGUCGCAAGACCAAAGAGGGGGACCUUCGGGCCUCUUGCCAUCGGAUGUGCCCAGAUGGGAUUAGCUAGUAGGUGGGGUAACGGCUCACCUAGGCGACGAUCCCUAGCUGGUCUGAGAGGAUGACAAGCCACACUGGAACUGAGACACGGUCCAGACUCCUACGGGAGGCAGCAGUGGGGAAUAUUGCACAAUGGGCGCAAGCCUGAUGCAGCCAUGCCGCGUGUAUGAAGAAGGCCUUCGGGCUGUAAAGUACUUUCAGCGGGGAGGAAGGGAGUAAAGUUAAUACCUUUACUCAUUGACGUUACCCGCAGAAGAAGCACCGGCUAACUCCGUG
rnacentral:rRNA from 1 species